CUCUGAUGGUGUAGUUGGCUAUCACACCCGGCUGUAAACCGGUUGUCGCUAGUUCGAUUCUGGCUCAGGAGA
rnacentral:tRNA from 1 species